rnacentral:lncRNA from 1 species
GUGUGCCGGCCUCGUGGACCAGCCUGGGCUCUCGCUGGAGGAAGUGGCUUGCAAGGAGGCUUGGGAGGAGUGUGGCUACCACUUGGCCCCCUCUGAUCUGCGCCGGGUUGCCACAUACUGGUGAGUGGGACCAGGCCCUCAGGCCUGUGGUGUGACUCAGGAGAUGGGAGAGAGUGAGGGCCCCGUCCCUGGGAGUGUGCAAGCAGGAUGGAUUCCUCCUUGUUUUCCAACAUGGGAUUAGGGGAGGGUUGGACCGAAUGCACCUCAGAUCCUAAGCCAGGCCAGAAUCUGGGCUCUUGGGGCUCUCUCUGCAGCGUCUCGGCCCCAUGCCCCCAGCCUGCGGCCCCCAGCCGUGUGAGGCAGGCCGGGUGAACCCCCGCCCAAUCCAGGCCCUAUAGUCCCUCCUGUGUUCUAGGGGUUUGGUGUUGACAAAACCCUGUCCCAGACCAUGGCCCGCCAGGCAGGAAGGACAGGGGUGAGAGGUUGCUAUUCGCAGAGGAGGCAACUGAGUCCUGGAAGGAUGGGGGUGAGAGGUUGUUAUUCACAGAAGAGGCAAAUAAGUCCUGGAGGCUGGCCCCUAGGGAAGAAGGGGAGCUGGGAGGGCUGGCAGGUGGGGUGAGGCAGGUACCGCCCCGUCAGCCAGCUCAGGUUCACUCUGGAUGACUUCCUGCCAUCCAGGUGUAGGGACCCCAGCUGGCGGGCGGUGAGGCCCUGUCGGCGGGCGG